GAAUGUGGGCGGGAAGAUUCAAGCCCAGCAAACAGAAGGGAAAGAUGGAGGAGUCUGAUAUCCAUCCAGUCCCUCCUGCCAACCCGCAGCGUGGUGUUGAGAAGGCCCGGGAAGACAGACAGUCAAGUGUUGGUGAACUUGUGUGCCAGUGAGUCAGUGCCAACUGCCGUGAAGUUAGAUAG